GACGAACGCUGGCGGCGUGCUUAACACAUGCAAGUCGAACGGAAAGGCCCCUUCGGGGGUACUCGAGUGGCGAACGGGUGAGUAACACGUGAGUAACCUGCCCUUGACUUCGGGAUAACUUCAGGAAACUGGGGCUAAUACCGGAUAGGAAUCCUUGCUGCAUGGUGGGGGUUGGAAAGCUUCGGCGGUUUUGGAUGGACUCGCGGCUUAUCAGCUUGUUGGUGGGGUAGUGGCUUACCAAGGCUUUGACGGGUAGCCGGCCUGAGAGGGCGACCGGCCACAUUGGGACUGAGAUACGGCCCAGACUCCUACGGGAGGCAGCAGUGGGGAAUAUUGCACAAUGGGCGGAAGCCGGAUGCAGCAACGCCGCGUGCGGGAUGACGGCCUUCGGGUUGUAAACCGCUUUCAGCAGGGGCGAAGCUUGUGGUGACGGUACCUGCAGAAGAAGCACCGGCUAACUACGUG
rnacentral:rRNA from 1 species